UGGUUAGGAAGCACAUAAGGUAUGUGCGGUCGCCUGUUAAGCGAAUGGCACAGGGUUCGAAUCCCUGACUAACCGCCAA
rnacentral:tRNA from 1 species